UGAAGUAUCAGUUAAAAUAAACUUUGCUGUUGAAGUUUUUGAUUUCCGUCAAACCGUUGGUGAGAUAUUUCACUUUUAAGUUUGAGGUGGGAGAAAACAGUGCCACAGCGGUGAAUUAUUAAAACGCAGAGUGCCGUGCUGCCACACAAAUGGUUUAUGUAAUUUUUAAUAUAGAUUGCCAUUUGAACAUCAAAAUUGGUAGUGGUUUCACCCCCAAAGUAACGGUUGACAAAAAAAUAACAUAAAUGUAAAAUUGUAGAUUUGCUCGUAUCUUUCAAAUGUUUU